rnacentral:antisense_RNA from 1 species
AAAUCCCCGCCCGCUUCCGGGGCUCGGCGGCGGCGGAGUGCUACCUUGCAGCAUUAAGAUGGAUUUGACUGGAAAAGAUGAGAAGGGCCUACAAACAGCUGUAAAUGAGGAGAUUCAGCAUGGGAGUGAUCACGCUGUACUGCAAGGAGAAGAUCAGCUCCUGAAUGGAUCCUGAAUUUGGCAUGAGAUAGAGGAGUAAUCCGGAGCCAUAAAAGAAAAUCACUGCAGUGAGAUGGGAGGAGCAGGUGGAGAAGGCUUUGCUUCUGCCUGUAGUGGAGCUGAUCCUCAGGAUGGUGGACAAAAUGCAAAUAUAAGACAAGAAUAUAAUGAGAAAAUUUCCAAAGAAAUGCAGGAAGCUGGAGCAGAGCAGGGUGGUAAAACUUGCUGACACAUCAGAGCAAGACAAAGGAUAGAGAGAGGGC